GUUAAUGUAGCUUAUAUAUUAAAGCAAGACACUGAAAAUGUCUAGAUGAGUAUUUAUACUCCAUAAACA
rnacentral:tRNA from 1 species